CAGUAGCCACGGGAAUACGAAGGGGGCUAGCGUUGUUCGGAAUUACUGGGCGUAAAGGGCGCGUAGGCGGCCAUUCAAGUUAGAUGUGAAAGCCCUGGGCUCAACCUAGGAAUUGCAUUUGAUACUGAUUGGCUAGAGUUCGGGAGAGGUGAGUGGAAUUCCCAGUGUAGAGGUGAAAUUCGUAGAUAUUGGGAAGAACACCAGUGGCGAAGGCGGCUCACUGGACCGACACUGACGCUGAGGCGCGAAAGCGUGGGGAGCAAACAGGAUUAGAUACCCGCGUAGUCCCUGUCUCUUAUAC
rnacentral:rRNA from 1 species